rnacentral:lncRNA from 1 species
AUGGAGGGAAAGUCUUGGAGAGCAAUGGAGUCAAAGAAAUUGAAGAUAAGAAAGCUGAUGAUGUGGAAGAGGUAAAAGAGGAUGAGAAUGCUGAUAUAGUAGAGGAAAUAAAAGAGGAUAAGAAAGAUGAUGUGGUGGGGGAAGUAAAAGAGGAUAAGAAAGAUAAUGGGGCUGAUGAAGUAAAAGAGGAGACGAAAGUUUAUGGGGUGGGGGAAGUAAAAGAGGAUAAGAAAGAUGAUGAGGCUGAUGAAGUAAAAGAGGAGACGAAAGAUGAUGGUGUGGAAGAAGUAAAAGAUGAUAAGAAAGAGGAUGUGGCUGAAGAAGUAAAAGAGGAUAAGAAAGAUGAAGGGGUGGAAGAAGUAAAAGAUGAGAAGAAAGAUGAUACGGUGGAAGAAGAAAAAGAAGAUAGGAAAGUUGAUGGGGUGGAAGAAGUAAAAGAUGAUGUGGUGGAAGAAGAAAAAGAGGAUGAGAAAGUUGAUGAGGUGGAAGAAGUAAAAGAUGAUGUGGUGGAAGAAGAAAAAGAGGAUGAGAAAGUUGAUGAGGUGGAAGAAGUAGAAGAUGAUGCGGCGGAAGAAGAAAAAGAGGAUGAAAAAGUUGAUGAGGUGGAAGAAGUAAAAGAUGAAAGGGUGGAAGAAGUAAAGGAGGUUACGAAAGAUGGUGAGGUGGGAGAAGGAAAGGAGGCUACAAACGAUGGUGUGGUGGAAGAAAUAAAAGAGGAUAAAGAAAUUGAUGGUACUGAGGAAGUAAAGGUGGAAAAGAAAGAUAAUGGAGGCGAAGAUGUUAAGGAGGAUAUGGAAGUUGAUAGUGUAAAAGAAGUAGUGGAGGCUAAGAAAGAUGAUGAUGACAUUCAAGAAAUAGAAGAGGAUGACAAAAAUGUUACCGAAUCUGAGAAUGAGAAAAUGGAUGUCGAUACCGAGGUUAAGGAAACUACAGAAGGUAAAGAAGAAAUGGAAAAAAUUGAAUCUGUAAAAGAAGAAGCAGAUUUGAUGGAAACAGAGGGUAGCGUUGAGGAAAAGGAAGAGGGCGAUGAAGAGGAGAAAAAUGAAGCAGAGAUAGAGGAGAAGGAAGAGGAUGAUGAAAAGGAGGAAUCUGAAGCAGAGACAGUGGAAAAGGAAGAGGGUGAUGUAAAGGAGAAAACUGAAGCAGAGACAGAAGAGGAGGGGGAGGAGGAGGAUGACAAGGAUAGUAUUGAUAAAUCAAAAGAAGAAGAUAAGGCAGAGGGUAGUAAAGGUGAGAAAGGAUCAAGAAAGCGUGCGAGAGGGAAGAUUAACGAGGAGAAAGUGAAGGAGAAAAUAAAGGAACUGAAACAGCUAGAGCCUAAGACUCCUACUAGUGAUCGUCCAGUUCGAGAAAGAAAAUCAGUUGAGAGGUUGGUAGCAUUAAUCGAUAAAGACACGAGCAAAGUAUUUCACAUCGAGAAGGUAUUUGUUGUUCAUUGUCACAUUUGAAGUAAUUAGCCUUAACUAAGCAUUUUUUAUUUUAACUUAAUUUGUUUACAGUUUCCCUUUCAAAUUGCAGGGUCGUGGCACACCUUUAAAAGAUAUACCCAAUGGUAUGGUGCUUCUCUUUGAUUUUUUAUUUUGUUUUAUUAGUAAUGGUUUUUUACUUCACUUAUAUAUAUACAUAUAUAUUUUGAGGGUGUGUUUGUUGCACACUAACACACCCUCAGAUGUUAUAGUAUUUCUUAAUUUUAAAUUCUACACAUGCCUUCUUCUUUUUCCUUCUAUGCAUCUCAUGCCUCCACUACGAGAUUGAGUAUGGUGGUACUUGGCUGCCGUCAUGCACCGUUUCUGUCUUGGUGGUGGUAUAAGCAAAAGGGUGCAAGAUUGUAUUCGGAUGAGACAGUGUUAUACCUGACCAAAGCUGUGGCAUAUACCCCAUAAUCAUAAUCACAAAGUUCACUAAUAGCGUGACAAUUAAAAUAUUUGAAUGUACCACAAACCGAAAUAACAUACCGACGAUGUAUAGCCUCACACACCCAAUACUUCAGUGUUGUAUUGCAUACCCUUACCAAAUACCAAACGAGCCAAGGAUUAUUAUGCUUAAAUAUCUAAAGCUGUUCCAUGACCUUUCAAUUAUUUUUGAGCCAAGGAUAUAUGCUUAUAUACAUUUUUUUAACACUAUCAGAUUGCCACAAGCUUAUGAUUUUGAUUUACAACUUAAACAUUUACAUUGAUUAUGAUAUUGACUAGUACAUUAGCUUGCAUUGAUUUGAUUUGAUUUGAUUUGAUUGUCUUGUUAAUUAACUGUAGUUUUCCUUCAGUAAAAUGCUUUAUGCAUGCCUUCUUUUUCUCAUUAAAAGAAAAUUUAAUAUGUGGAUCUUCCCUUUCACUCACUGUACAUUUAAAGAUAUUAAUAAUAGUGGUAAAACAUGGAGAUAUUCGAUCCUCUUCCUUCCAUUUUUGGAAAAAGAGUUUCUUAUUAUUUAUUAGUUCAAUAUGGUUUAUCCAUGCUAUUUAAUGUCCUUUUACAGAUUUAUGUGACCAUUGGAAGAUCAAUUGUAAAUCUGAUCUUUGGAAUCCUUAGGUCUUAGAGAUAAUGGCAGAAUAUAAAUGAACUGUCAAAUUGACCUUAGUUCAGCAGUAAUAGAAGGAGUUUCCUGUUACAUAUAAUUUAAGUGAAGUUGAUCUGAUAAUAUGCGGGAGUUUUUUUUUUUGUAGUUUUUGUUCUCAUUUACAUUUGUUACACUGGAGUGGAUGUGAAACUAUGCUUCUUCAGAAUAGCUAAUAAACUUAUGACUCCUGCAUUUUUCUUCUAUAGUGGCAUCUAAGUUAUCUAGAAGGAAAAAUGAUGAUAGUCUCAAGUUGCUCCACUCAAUCCUCUUCGGGAGGAGAGGGAAGGUACACGUUUCUUCAUUAAAUAUCCGAGUCUUUUUGUUACACCUGUUUCAAACCACCUUAUUAAUUUUCUUUUUUUUCCAUAUCAUUGUGGUUCUAUAGAUUAGGGGUGUUCGUGGUUCAUGAAUUGAAUUGAACCGAACCAUAUUAAUGGUUCAAUCCAGUUUUUAAAAACCACUUUAGCAAAAAGUGGUUAAUCUGUUUAAUCAAUUCAAUUCGGUUUAAAACCAUCCAGUUUUUAAAAACCACUUUAGCAAAAAGUGGUUAAUCUGUUUAAUCAAUUCAAUUCGGUUUAAAACCAAUUCAGAACUGGUUCAUAAUUUUAAACCAGUUUAAUUUAUUUAAACCAGUUUAAAAUCAAUUUUUUAAAAAAUUAGAUUAAUUUUUUCACCAAAUUCCAAACUGGUUUUUUUAUAUAUUUAAAAAAAUGUUUCUUUUUUGUUUUUAUAAUAAAAUUGAAUUUAAAAAUUGAAUUCAAAUCUGGAUUUUUUAAAAAUUGUUUCUUUUUUGUUUUUAAAAAAAUUGAAUUCAUAUUCAUCACAACGAAUGCCACAGCCGAUAACUUUUUCUGCUAUGCACUUAUAUCAUAUCAGAACAUUUGACUUCACAUUUAAAAACACUACAUAAACUUGUGAUUACAAAAAGAAUCAAAAAUAAAAAGGUGUUAUUGUAUCAGUUAGUAUAUACUCCGUAUUAGAAAUCUUGGUACGUAUUUGGAUUCAUAAGUCUUAAUAUAGAAACAUUGAUCUUGAUAUAUUUAGAAUUUUUCAAUUAGAAUUGACAUUGAUUAUUUAAUUUUAUUUAACAUUUAAUAAUCAUUUAUUAAACUAUAUAAUAAUGGAAAUUGAUUUUGAUAUAUAUAACAUUUAAUAGAAGGUAAAAUAUAUAGAAACAGUUAUAUAUAAACAUUUAAUAGAAGGUAAAAAUUAUAGAAACAGUUAUGAAUCAUUUUGAAUCGAUUCAAAAUAGAAGGUGAAAUUGAAAUUGAUGUUGAGUUUGAAUUGAAGAAGAUGAUUUAGGAUUCAUAUUUCAUAUUUGGGGAAAACACGUAAUGUGAAAUGAAAUGUUAUGAUAAUAGUAACUGACUAAAAAUAAUUAAAGAUUAUAAUUAAAUAUUAAUCAUUUAAUAUAUGAUGUAUUAAGUUUAUUGAAUUUGAGAAAUAAUAGUAUUUAUAUUUUAGAUAAAAUUGUGGAAAGAGUUUAUAAGAGUUUAAACUGGUUUUUAAAUUCAAUUAGAUUAAUUGAAUUGGUUAAAAUAAACAAUUCAAUUUACUAACCAUUUAAAUGGUUUAAGUUUUUUAUGGUUCAAUUCAGUUCAGAUUAAGUAGUUGGAUCAGUUAACCAAAUUUUUGAACACCCCUACUAUAGAUCAGGAUUUGUAUAGUGCAGGCCUUCACUAUUGAAAAGUUUAACACUUUUAUUUAUAUGUGAUAUUUCGGUUAUGGAACUGACAAGUCAGACUCAUGUUACACCGUGUUACUCUUUUUUUAAUCCUUUGCAGGCAGUUCAGGUCAAGAGUAAUAUAUCGAGGUUUUCUGGUUUUGUAUGGCAUGGCAAUGAGGUAAUUAUUACCGCAAGAAGUACCAAAUAUAAUACUCAUAACAUGCAACUAUAUCAUAUAAAAUGAUUGAAGGGUUUUGUUGAUUUGUGUUCAUAGUAAUUUCUUUUUACGGACUUCUUUUCUUAUCUUUAAGUCCUUGUUUGCCAAUGGUUGUAAACUUCUAAUAUUGUUUCUACAGGAGAAGCAAAUGCUUAAAGUAAAAGAAAAGCUAGACAAAUGUACUAAAGAGAAGUUACUGGAAUUCUGUGAUGUGUUUGACAUAACACUUAACAAGUCAAUGAGAAAAAAAAAGGUUUGUUGGUUUAGUAGCAUUGCUAAUGUUCUUGUUGUGGAUGAAACAUUACUACGUUAAUCCCGCCACAUAUUUAUGCUUUGGUAUGUGUGUGCACAAGGGUUAUCAAGAAUCUCUGUUGCUUAUAUUCAUAAUGCACUGUAUAUAUGUUCUAGCCCUAAAAGGAAACCCUGUUGACUGAUACCAUUUAGCACGCCUUUAUUAUUGCCAAUGAAUUUCUGCCUGUGCAGGAAGAUGUUAUUACUAAGCUGAUAGACUUUUUGCUUGCCCCUCAUGCAACCACAACUGUGCUACUUGCAGAAAAAGAGGUUUACUUUCUUUCUUGUGUUUCAAUUUUUUUCUUCAAGAUGUUAUGGAAAUUUUCUUUUGCUAUGUUUCUUGUGCAACAUAUUCAUAGUUUUAUGGUUAACCCGCAUCAGUCCAGUAAGAAGCGCAAGCGUGUUGUGAAACGAGGUACAUCAAGGCCUAGGACUAGUACUUCAAGAGGUUCUUCUGCAAAGGUAAUAAUCUCACUACUUCAACUGCAGCAAAUGUGAUAUUAGCAGCAUAAAAUAAUUUGUGAGUGCCUCUUAUGCUUGUUUCGCUCCCUGCAUUGCUUGAAACUGACUAGUUGUUUUCUCCUAUGAUUGGUUAAAUUUUAUUUUGUUUAGUAAUAAUUGUAUAAUUAAUUUGUAAAUAUAUAUAGUUGUUAAUAUUAUUGUUUAUAUUUUGUGGUGUUGAGAGGAAAGUGAGUUUAAAUUCUAUUGUAGUUUUCAUUUCAUAUCUAUGACACCAUUUUCUAAUUUUAAUAAUACUUAUUUAACCAACUUAUAGCCUUUUUCACAAAUAGUCAAUGAAAACUAUGUUCUCAGUCUCUAUGUUGUCAGUAGUGGCCACAGUUGCACCAUAGUAUUGUGUUGCAGAGGAUCUGCACUAUGGAAAUGACCAUUGCAUGGUGUUUUAGGGUUGCAUUUACAGCAGUCCAAAUUGCGGCCAAAACACGGUAAUUCCGGCCAAAACUACGGCGAUUACAUAGCAAAAACUUAAAAAGAAUAGUAAAAGAAUAUUGAAUAAGAAUUAAUUCAUAUUAAAUGAUUAGAAAUUUCCAUAUUUCCAAUACACUACUAAAUAAAAAAGCAACAGGUCCAAAAACAACUUUUGGCGCUGCUAAACCUAUUUUCAGAGUCGGAUCAAAUUCUGGCCAUAACGGCCGAUUUGUAUAAUGUGGAACCGGGUUGAAAAUGGGUCGAAAGUUUAAACAGAUCGGAUUUUAGCCACAUCGGAACGAAACAGAUAACUGAUUUCGCGUGUUUACGAUCUUCAUCGGCGCGCCGACUUCUCUUUUAUCUGCAGUGAUCUUUGCACCGAUCUAACUCAGUGGCCUGUUGAGGGAGCACAAAAUCGUAUGGUCUAAGGAGUUAAUGCGCACUCCUGAUCUAAGGAGAUAAUAUGCGCCCCCCUGACAACUAUGCUCCUGGUCAUGGUUCAAGCGGCUGAACCGGGUUUGUACUAGAUGGUAA